rnacentral:RNase_P_RNA from 1 species
GAAGUGGGCCAGACCGCCGCUGGUGCAAGGCCCGAAAGGGCGCACUGGAGGAAGGUCCGGACUGCGCAGGGCAGCGUAGCAGCUAACGGCUGCCCACCGUGAGGUGAGGAUCAGAGCAACAGAGACGAGCCGAUUCAGUUCGGGUGAAACGGGCAAUCUCUACGCGCAGCAAUACCAAAUAGGCACACGCAAGGCGGCGUUCGCGCUGCCCGGAACCCUGGCCCGGGGCGAUGUGUGCGGGUAGGUAGCACCGAGCCGGGCAGUGAUGCACGGCCCAGAGGAAUGGCGGUCACGGCCGGCGCUUCGCAAGAGGGGCUGGCUGCACAGAAUCCGGCCUAUCGGCUCGCUUCACAC